AGGAACAAAAGCUUACCCAAGCUUCUCCCUCUUCAAGCUUCUCCCUUUCAAGCUUCUUAAGCCGAGAGAAUCCGAAGAAGGUCCUGAAGAAGUCUCAACCCGAGGUUCAGAAGGAGCAAGAAGGUUGAUUCACUUUCCAUCCUACCCUACUUCUACCUCACCUACAAACCUACAAACCUUGUAACUUCAUUGUAGUAGAUCUUGAGAAGCUCAUGUGUUGAGCAACCUUUGUAAGUCCUACCCGGAAUUACAUCUCCAAAACCUUUGUACAAAUCUUACAAAUUUUAUAAGAUUUUGAAGUACAAUUGUUGUAGUCUUGUUCAGACUUGACUUUCCUGCCAAUUUCUUGCAAACAACGUGGGAUGGACAGGACAACAGGUACUAGAGAUACUCUAAGAGAGCCCAGUAGGCCUUCGACUAGGAGAUAGAGUUUGAUCUGCAUUAGUGUAGUCCGGUGUCACCUCAUCCAUGCAGUGUAUUUUGGUAGGACCACUAGGCUUCAUUGUAUUUUAUAUUUUGUAUAAGACAUUAACUUUUGCCAUGUGAAUUACAAACUCAUGUAAUUAUUUGUAAAUUAUGUAAUUAAUGUGAUUUGCAUAUUUUAUUUAUGAAAUUUGAGUAUGGAUCUAUUUAUGUAUGAAA